UACGUAGGGGGCUAGCGUUGUCCGGAUUUAUUGGGCGUAAAGAGCGUGUAGGCGGCCAGAUAGGUCUGCUGUGAAAACUCGAGGCUCAACCUCGAGCUGUCGGCGGAAACCAUCCGGCUAGAGUCCGGAAGAGGAGAGUGGAAUUCCUGGUGUAGCGGUGAAAUGCGCAGAUAUCAGGAAGAACACCUAUGGCGAAGGCAGCUCUCUGGGACGGUACUGACGCUGAGACGCGAAAGCGUGGGGAGCGAACAGG
rnacentral:rRNA from 1 species